ensembl:misc_RNA Metazoa_SRP Metazoan signal recognition particle RNA
GCCAGGCACAGUGGCACAUGCCUAUAUUGCCAGUUGUUUGGUAGGCUGAGGCAGGAGGAUCACUUGAGCAUAGGAGUUCUGGGCUGUGGUGCGCCAUGCCGAUUUGGUGUUGCAUUAAACUCAACACCGAUAUGGUGACCUCUUGGGAGACAGGAACCAUAUUGCCUAAGGAGGGGUGAACCAGCCCAACUUGGAAAGGGAGCACAUCAGAACUCCUGUGUUGAUCAGUGUGGGAUUGUGCCUUUGAAUAGCCACUGCACUGUCUAGCCUGGGCAAUAUAGCAAGAUCUUGUCUCUA